AGCAACAACCACCUUCCUUCUUCUUGAUUUUAGCCAUCCAAAUGAGGAAUUAAACUUCUAAACCGAUUAAAGUGUUAGUUGUGGGCUUGAGAAGUUAGGGGAAACAAGAAUUCCAAGAGGAGGUGAAGUAUUACUUUUGCAAGCUUCAUUUGUUGAGGUAUAAGGCUAAACCAUGGCUUUGGUUCUUUUAUUGUGGUUUAAGUUGUUGCAUCAUGCAUGAUUGUGGUUGGAUUAGUAGUGAAACAAGUUGUUAUGAUGAUUUAAAGGUGAUAUAUGUGAGUUAGGGUUUGAGGUACUUGCUGCCUAUACUUGCUAUAUGGAUGAGAUAUGUGGUAUCUAAGCUUAUAUAAGUGGUUUUAGUGAUGAUUAGAGUAAGAAAUCAAGAAAGGCUGCAUUGAAAACAAAAAUUCCAGAUUUCUGGAAAAAUUUCCCCUCUUUCUGUCCGGUUUUAUUGCAUCAUGUUAGAGGCCGAAUUAGCCUUAGCUUAAAACAUAAAAGUCGUAGAGAAUGGUAUUUUAUAGUUGCCUACAAAAUUUCAGCUCAAUCGGAGCAACGUAGCCUGUGAAAAGACCAAAAUACCCUCGCUGUUCUAGGUUACAUUCCAGAGUUCCGCGUGGACAGUUUUGUCUAUUUGGUUGUAUUUAUUCACUAUAAUCCGUUCGGAUUUAGCCAUUUUCUAAAACAUGAAAGUUUUAGUACCCUGUCUUAGCUUUUCAACACCACCAAGAACGUCUUAAACAGAUCUCGGUAGACUGAGAUAUGGUCAUUUGAAUGCAGUACGGUUGAUUAGCCAAAUAGUUGGAACCAGGUUAUAUGAAUUGGGAAUUUGAUUAGGUUACACUGAAAAUUUGACUAAGUGCUCUUCAUGAAAAUUGUAGGCCUUCGUCUUAGCUUCAAAAUGGUAUAAGUUUCACCUCGAUCCGAUAAGCGUAGCCUCGGAUGUGCUCAUUCCGCAAAAAAAAGAACCCGUCAAAACUGUCUUUUGUAAACGUCGUUUCCACACUCGUUAUUAGCUUGAUUUCUUGUUCUUGUAUUGUUUUGAGCCUAUUGAAUGGCUAUUGAAAUGAAAUUGUGUUAUGGGUAACCUUGGGUUUGGUUGAGUAAAAGAAUGAAGCCAUAAAUGGUUGGAAAAUUAGGUAAACACAAAGGGCGUGCUGCCCAAAUUUACGCUCGAGGACUAUAGAAAUACACUUGCGACUUGGGUAGAGUUGAUAUGAAUAUCACUUGAACCAUCUAGGGUACUUGAGUCUUCUUGUUCCGAGGUAUAUAAGUAAGGAUUUGGCCGAACUUGUACCCUUGAGAAAUGAAAUAAUGAUUGCUCGGAGUAUGUUUUCCUUGUACUUUCAACUCGCAUGACAAUUUCAAGUAUAAAUGUUACAAAGUUUUACUGUUUAAAAAGCGAGCAAGUGUUUCACGACUACCAUCUGAGUGAAUUUCAAUUUCUUGAUUUUUAUUGAACGAAGCGUCUAAGUUCCGAAUCUUAGUCGAUUUUCAAAGUUCUCAAACUGAGUUUUAUCGCAGAUUUGGACUCCGAACCCGGGGUAUAACCUAAAAGUGACCAGUAAAGGCACUAUAUCUUUUGGUGAGUGCUUUCAAAUACCGAAUUGAACUUGAUACUUGAACUUGAUACGUGACCAAUAUGAUUACAUGUUAUAUACGUGAAUUGUUAGGGCAAGAGUGUACUUUAUCGCACUUGCCCUUAUGUGAUAUAUACUUGUUUAUUGUUGCAAUUGACUUGAUAUACUUGUUUAUGAUGCGCGCACUUCCUGAAAUUCCAGAAACCCUGCGGCGAGUUACUUAAGUCGAACCGGCAAAGGUUUGGUCGAUUGGGUAACGAACCCUGGGUCUCUUGUUUUGUCGAGUGGAGUGAUAUCUCCUCGACUAAUCGGUAUACUCGAGUAUUACCACCCGUGUUUCUUGAGGAUUUUGGGCCCAGCUGGGGGUUUGAACGGUGGACGGAGAGUCGUUUAAGUGGUGUUCUACUGGAUUGGUUACUUACUUGAAAGUUGACGGAGUGUCAACUGUUACUUGAUCAAGUUCUGGAGAUGCAAUGGGAAUUUGACUCCUGAGAGUCUUCCGUAUCCUUAUACUUGAAAAUGAUUAUUGUUUAUCGGAUUGUUGUUCCUUUUGAAAACCAAAAGCACUUUAUACUUGCUCAUUUGGAAAUUUGCUACUUGAAGUGUUAGUGUUCAUCUUCAUGAAUUUGUUAAGCUCGCUCACUUUGAAAUUUGCUACUUGAAAUAUUAUUGUCCACUCUUAUGAAUUUUGAUGCCAUUAACUUGCUACGUUGAUAUUCGUACUUUUAAAAUGGUCAAUUUGUUAUUUGGAACCUCACUGGGCUUUUAGCUCAUUCCACGCUAUUUGUUUUCCUUACAGGGGGUACGAGCGAG
rnacentral:lncRNA from 1 species